GUGACUGUGUGUACCUGUCGGUGCCUGUGUGUUGCUGUGUGUGCUUGUACCUGUGUGUGUGUGUGUAUCUUGGUCUGUAAGUAACUGUGAGUGUGCUAAGAUAUGAAAUGUGAAAUUUGGGUGGACCAGGGGUGGGGUUGGAGAAGGGACAGGGGUAAGCCAUUGUGUAGAGGGUCAUCAAAUUAUUUUUGGACUCAAGCUUUGGGUGUUUUUGACCCCAGC